AAUGGGGAAACCCACUUGUCAUAAGACAGGUAUCGUAAAUUUAUUUACGAGGCAAACCGGGAGAAGUGAAACAUCUCAGUAACCCGAGGAAAAGACAUCAAUAGAGAUUCCCCUAGUAGCGGCGAGCGAACGGGGAGGAGCCGACUGAUUAUAAUUUAGAGGAAUGACUUGGAAAGGUCAAUCGUAGAGGGUGAUAAUCCCGUACUCGAAAGGUUAUAAGAAGCAUAUUAAGUAGGGCGGAACACGAGAAAUUCUGUCUGAAGAUGGGGGGA
rnacentral:rRNA from 1 species